ensembl:lncRNA
CUGGGCUGUGCUGGGAAGUGACCCAUCUCUGCUGCUCGGAGCCUAUGGGUUAGAGCCAGUCAUCAACAGUCUCCACUUGCCGGGAAGGGUUGGGAGGAGAUAGAGAUGAGUGAAGUCACCAAGAAAGCCAGGGUAGAUAAAGGGGAAAAGAAGGUCAUGGAGAAGAGGCGGAGCUCGCAAAGGAGACCGAAAAGAAAUGUUUAGGGAGAAGAAGAAGGACCAGGAGCUGGUAUCCUGGAACCCCGGGAGGAAAAUGUUAUGCGGAGGGAGUAAUCAAGGUGGGCGAGACUGGGGCCCCUCCAGACCCACGCUGGCUGUCCUGGGAAGCUGGCACUAGGCACCGAAUACACAGUGGAAUUUUCCAGAGAUGACACGAUGUGUGACAUUGCAACAGACUGAAGCCACAGCAGAUCUGAGAAUCAUGGGGUCUUCUGCUAAGUCAGACGUUAAAGACAUUUGCAAAUGAAGAAACAAAGCCACUCUCCUAAGUAUUUAGAAGACAUCGUUGUUUUUCAUAAAAAUGUUAUUUAUAUUAACAUGGAAUGGAUUUAUUAUUGCUAUUUUUAAAGAUUUUUAUUUUUUCCUUUUUCUCCCCAAAGCCCCCCAGUACAUAGUUGUAUAUUCUUUGUUGUGGGUCCUUCUAGUUGUGGUAUGUGGGACGCUGCCUCAGCGUGGUUUGAUGAGCAGUGCCAUGUCCGCACCCAGGACUUGAACCAACGAAACACUGGGCCUCCUGCAGCGGAGCGCACGAACUUAACCACUCGGCCACGGGGCCAGCCCCUAUUAUUGCUAUUUUUAAAUAAAUAAAUUUAUAUAUUUCAAAGUCAGUUUUAAUUUCUAACAGUUAAAAUCGAUAGAUAGAACUUUCACAAACAAAAGUUCUUUAGAGAGGCUGCAAUAAUUUUUUAACAGUAUAAAGUUAUUCUGAGGCAAAAAUGUUUGACAACCACUGUUGUACGUGUAAUUACCUGUCCAUAGACACAUUUCAAGGUUUUUCUUUUAUUAUAAGUUUAUAAAGAACCAACAUGUACAGAGAAGAGGAGAAUCACUUAUAAUGUGCCUGCCCAGAGACUAGAAACAAUCGCUACUGACAUUUGCCGUGUUUUUCUCCCCGUUGUGUUUCUGUACGUAUUUCUCCCCAGUUCAUGUGUUUGGAAUGGAAGCUCAGUGUCCCAGGUUGCACCUGCCAGUGGUGCGAAGGCCGGCUGACUGAUGUGGACAUGUGAGCUUGGUGGCUCUGGGGCUCGUGCCUCCACCUGCCCACGCUGCAGCCCCUGGGGCCACCCGUCUCCUUCCAUAUUUCUAGGGCCUUCAAGGGGUCUUACUUGCGUGACUCCAGUCACUUUUAGGUUGUCACCUUGUGAGGUCUGGCUAAGCUGCGUCCACAGGUGCUCCCUCCUGCCGUGAAGCAGCCCUCAGCCCUCCAGUCUCGGUCUCUCCUUGUCCCCCUGGGGUGUGGAGGGCGCCUCCAUCCCCUGCCAGGCGGCCAUGGCCUUGCAGCGCCCUGUUCCGGCUCCCCUGACCUAUGUUCGCUCUGCCCUCUAGGUGGGUCCCUGUGGUGUCCACCUCCUUAGCAGCUGGGGCAGGAUGAGACACCUCUGUCUCUGUGACCCAGACCUCCCAGUGGGUCUCUAUCCUAUGGGAGAGCUGAGAAACGCCUGCCUGGUCCAUGUGCAACUCUCAGAGGGACUGCGGAGUUACAGAAGACCCCUGGUGAGCCAGGGUGGAUGUGGGGGUCCUUGAGCAGAGUGGCCAGGGAAGGGAGCACUAACCUGCCUCCCCAGGGCCCGGUGGCCUAGGCGGGCUGCCCAGGUGGGUUCAGGGCCAGCCUCCUGCCGCUUCUGUUCACCGCACAGGCUCUGUCCCCUCUGCUCAUCUGUCUUCCUCUGCCUCCUUCCCUGCCAUGCCUGCCAUCCGGCAGACAGCUUUCAGUGGGAUUGUGAGCCCCAUUGAAGUCCUUUCCCAUGGUCUGGCUGGGCCCUCAGAACAUCUAGAGAUGUGGCUAGACCCCGAGCCCCAUGAAAAGCGUUCCAGACUCUCCACGAGAGCACCGAGCUUGGUCUGCCCAGAGCCCGCUGGGUCUUGGGGGCUGUCCAACUCCACAGAUGGGCCUCUCUGCCCCUCGGCUUCAGCUGAGCACCAUAUCCGGCUCAGCGCAUACAUAUUUAAAAGAUUGAGGUGUAGUUCGGCAAGCGCACAGAUCUUAAAUGUACAGAUCAGUGAUUUUUGACAAAUAUUUAUGUAUCUGUGUAGCCAACACCACGAUCAAAGUAUAGAACAUUGUCAUUACCCUAGAAAAUUCUCUUCUGUCUUUUUCCAGUCUAUCCACCUCCCCCCACCUCUGCUCUCCAAGUGACCACUAUUCUGAUUUCUAUUCCAAAAGAUUAGGCUUUUUUCCUUUCUCAUUUUGAAUUUCAUAUUAACAUAUCAUGAAGUAUGUACUCUUUUGGAUCUGACUCUUUUAGUUCAAAACACUGAUUUUGAGAUUCUUCCUUGUUUUUGCAUGUAUCAGUAAAUCAUUCCUUUUUUUUUCUUUUUUUUGGAGGAAGAUUAACCCUGAACUAAUAUCCACAGCCAAUCUUUUUUGCUGAGGAAGACUGGCCCAGAGCUAACAUCUGUGCCCAUCUUCCUCAACGUUAUAUGUGGGAUGCCUGCCACAGCAUGGCUUGAUAAGCACUGGGCAAGGCCGUGCCUGGGAUCCCAACAGGCGAACCCUGGGCCACCGAAGUGGAGUGCUCGAACCCAAGUGCUACACCACCGGGCCAGCGCCAAACCAUUCUUUUUUUCUUUUUUUUUUGAGGAAGAUUAGCCUUGAGCUAACGUCUGCUGCCAAUCCUCCUCUUUUUGCUGAGGAAGACUGGCCCUGAGCUAACACCUGUGCCUGUCUUCCUCCACUUUAUAUGUGGGGCCCCUGCCACAACAUGACUUGACAAGCAGUGCCAUGUCCGCACCGGGAUCUGAACCUGCGACUCCUGGGCCACUGAAGCAGAACAUAUGAACUUAACCACUGCACUACUGGGCUGGCCCCACAUUCGGUUUUAAUUGUUGAGUAGUAUUCCGUUGUAUGAGUACACCACACUUUAUCCAUUUUCUUGUUGAGCAUUUGUUGUUUUCAAUUUUUUCUGUUACAAAUAAAAUUGCAAUCAAGGUUCUUG